rnacentral:rRNA from 18 species
GGUAAAGCGAAUGAUUAGAGGCCUCGGGGGCGCAAUGCCCUCGACCUAUUCUCAAACUUUAAAUGGGUAAGAGACCGGGGUCGCUUGACUGGACCCUGCGUUCGAAUGGAGGUUGCUAGUGGGCCAGCUGGGGUAAGCUCGGCUGGCGAUGCGGGAUGAACCGAACGCUGAGUUAAAGUGCCAAACUGCCCGCUCACCUAGAUCCCACAAAAGGUGUUGGUUCAUUUAGACAGCAGGACGGUGGCCACGGAAGUCGGAACCCGCUAAGGAGUGUGUAACAACUC